CGCAGCAAACGCAUUAAGUGCCCCGCCUGGGGAGUACGGCCGCAAGGCUAAAACUCAAAGGAAUUGACGGGGGCCCCGCACAAGCGGCGGAGCAUGCGGAUUAAUUCGAUGCAACGCGAAGAACCUUACCAAGGCUUGACAUACACCGGAAACGGCCAGAGAUGGUCGCCCCGCAAGGUCGGUGUACAGGUGGUGCAUGGUUGUCGUCAGCUCGUGUCGUGAGAUGUUGGGUUAAGUCCCGCAACGAGCGCAACCCUCGUCCCAUGUUGCCAGCGGGUUAUGCCGGGCACUCAUGGGAGACUGCCGGGGUCAACUCGGAGGAAGGUGGGGAUGACGUCAAAUCAUCAUGCCCCUUAUGUCUUGGGCUUCACGCAUGCUACAAUGGCCGGUACAAAGGGCUGCGAUACCGCGAGGUGGAGCGAAUCCCAAAAAGCCGGUCUCAGUUCGGAUUGGGGUCUGCAACUCGACCCCAUGAAGUCGGAGUCGCUAGUAAUCGCAGAUCAGCAACGCUGCGGUGAAUACGUUCCCGGGCCUUGUACACACCGCCCGUCAAGUCACGAAAGUCGGUAACACCCGAAGCCGGUGGCCCAACC
rnacentral:rRNA from 1 species